rnacentral:rRNA from 1 species
GCGGUAGCAAUACUGAGUGGCAGACGGGUGAGUAACAUGUGGGAAUCUGCCUUGUGGUUCAGGACAACAUUGGGAAACCGAUGCUAAUACUGGAUAAGCCCUUACGGGGAAAGUUUUAAUGCCAUAAGAUGAGCCCGCAUUUGAUUAGUUAGUUGGUGAGGUAAUGGCUCACCAAGACAAUGAUCAAUAGCUGAUCUGAGAGGAUGAUCAGCCACACUGGGACUGAGACACGGCCCAGACUCCUACGGGAGGCAGCAGUGGGGAAUCUUGCACAAUGGAGGAAACUCUGAUGCAGCGAUGCCGCGUGAGUGAAGAAGGCCUUUGGGUUGUAAAGCUCUUUUGUAGGGGAGGAUAAUGACUGUACCCUAAGAAUAAGGUCCGGCUAACUUCGUGCCAGCAGCCGCGGUAAUACGAAGGGACCUAGCGUAGUUCGGAAUUACUGGGCGUAAAGCGCGCGUAGGCCGUUGGGUUAGUUAAUUGUGAAAUCCCAAAGCUUAACUUUGGAACUGCAAUUAAAACUGCUCGACUAGAGUUUGAUAGAGGAAAGCGGAAUACAUAGUGUAGAGGUGAAAUUCGUAGAUAUUAUGUAGAACACCAGUUGCGAAGGCGGCUUUCUGGAUCAACACUGACG